GUACCAUGCUUUACUAUUUCCUUUUGGUACUCCUGAAAGUACUAAAGCAUGGUGCAGUAUGGGUGAUUACUGCACUGUGCAUGUGGAGCACAGUUAAAUUU